CCCUCUCUACCCUUUGUGACUAUUAUACCUGUUGCUUCGGCGGCGCCCGCGAGGGUGCCCGCCGGUCUCAUCAGAAUCUCUGUUUUCGAACCCGACGAUACUUCUGAGUGUUCUUAGCGAACUGUCAAAACUUUUAACAACGGAUCUCUUGGCUCCAGCAUCGAUGAAGAACGCAGCGAAACGCGAUAUGUAAUGUGAAUUGCAGAAUUCAGUGAAUCAUCGAAUCUUUGAACGCACAUGGCGCCUUCCAGUAUCCUGGGAGGCAUGCCUGUCCGAGCGUCGUUUCAACCCUCGAGCCCCCGUGGCCCGGCGUUGGGGAUCUGCCACGGCAGGCCCCUAAAACCAGUGGCGGACCCGAAGGCCCUCUCCUUUGCGCAGUAGCAUCAGCCUCGCAUUGGGAUCCCUCGGCGUCCUGCCUCUAAACCCCCCACAAGUCCGCUCCGGCGGCACCAAGGUUGACCUCGGAUCAGGUAGGAAUACCCGCUGAACUUAAGCAUAUCAAUAAGCGGAGGA
rnacentral:rRNA from 1 species